GGUGUCAUUGGAAGUGGCCUUUGGGGUUUCAAAAGCUCAAGCCAGUCCUGGUGUCUCUGUCCUCUUGCUGCCCAAGGAUCCAGAUCCCCAAGCUACUUCUCUAGCACCAUGUCUGCCCGUGUGCUGCCAUGCUUCUCAUCCAGGAUGGGAAGCAUUUGUGCGAGGCAUUCCAGCGCCCACUGGUUCACUUUCUUGUUGGAAUCGUGAAGCCUUGGGGUGAAAGCAUCAAAGACCUAUUGAGGGAACAAAAACACCAAGAGUUUGUGGGCUUGGCAGGCAUCAGCUGAAACUACCCCUGCAUCCCUGGAAUGGAUCCCCAGACCUGUUGCUAGCACACUCCCAGUGAUGAAGAAGAGCUCCUCUCCUCAAAAGGGGAACAGGCAUAAAGAGGAGGGACGGACUGUAUUCACAUGUCAAUCAUCCAGAACACUGGGGCAGGUCCUCUUCACUAUCAUUCACUGAUGACCUUAGCAGCCCAUGUUGCUGGUGCUGUUAUCAUUCUCCGGUUUCCCAGUAACAAGGAGGGCUCAUGGAGGAGACUGAGUCUCCUCAGAUUGCACAGCUAGUGGAGGGCUUGGGUUGCCACCUGCCCGUCAGUGUCACUCCAAGGAAAAGCAGUAAACCUUCCUGGUGU
rnacentral:lncRNA from 1 species